rnacentral:rRNA from 1 species
UACGAAGGGGGCUAGCGUUGCUCGGAAUCACUGGGCGUAAAGCGCACGUAGGCGGCUUUUUAAGUCAGGGGCGAAAUCCUGGAGCUCAACUCCAGAACUGCCUUUGAUACUGAGAAGCUUGAGUCCGGGAGAGGUGAGUGGAAUUGCGAGUGUAGAGGUGAAAUUCGUAGAUAUUCGCAAGAACACCAGUGGCGAAGGCGGCUCACUGGCCCGGUACUGACACUGAGGUGCGAAAGCGUGGGGAGCAAACAGG